UAUUUCUGUGUUAUUAAAGCUGGCUCUCUGUUUACAUUCUGUUCACUUGUUCUUCUUCUCACAGGUGUUUUCAAACGUUGUGAAAGACUGAGCUCACACUCCUCAACAUGAACCUGACUGACUGUGAUGAUGCCUUCAUGAAACGAGAGAGCUCCACUGUACGUACAGUAUAGCAAUCUACCAGGAGCUGCUUCAGGGCCCUGAGGACAACUCCUUUUACAACAGCUCUGUUCCAGAGAUGCUUCCUCCUCCUCCACAUCCACCACCUUCACCACCCCUCCUGCUCAUCGCCAGAACUAAGAGUGCCCCACCCCAUCUCAGCAACCACCACCAGUUUCUCCUGCAGCCACCGCCUCCAUAUGUAGAUUCUGACAGACACUGCUGACAGCCAAACCUCCUCCUACAGCUUCUGCCAGUGCACCUACGUCUACACCUCUUGAAGCCAACUGCGGCUGAACCUCCACCCACAGCCUCUGUCAGCAACCUGAACCAGCACCUACACCUCUCGUACACUACUGCCAUCCAAACCUCCACCUGUAACCUUUGCCAGCCGCCUGAAGACACCUCCUCCACCUGAAGAUCCCCACAGAAAGCUGGGGUCAAACCUCCACCUUCCGCCUCUAUAAGGAAACCUGCACAGAUGUUAUCCUACUGCUAUGGUUGGAUCUAAGUGGAACAGCAACGACCAGAGAAACACUGGUGUUUCCAUACGUUGUGUGAAAGACUGAGCACACACUCCUCAACAUGAACCUGACUGAUUGUGAUGAUGCCUUCAUGAAACAGAAAGAGCUCCUCUUCCUCCCACUUGCCUUGUUGGACUUCCAGAUCAAGAGAUGCUUCCUCCUCCCUAUCGUGCACGUUCACCACCCUUCCUGCUCAUUGCCAGGACUAAAAAUGCCCCUCCCCAUCUCUGCAACCACCAGCACUUUCUACGCAUGCCGAUUCAUUGAAGGCCAAAGAUUGCAGAGACGCUCCACCCGAGACUUCAGUGCCUUACUUUUCCAACAACGCCCCCUAAUACGACGUCCAAUGUGCUCUUUUAAGCCUCUGCACUGUUUUACAAUAAAUUAACUAUUGUCUG